CAGCUUCGCCACACUGUGGGCUUUACAGAGUGGAGCAACCGCAGGAAUUUGCCGCAGUUUGUUUAUUCCGAGGAGGAUGGCGCAAUAAGCAGCUGGUCUCAAGAUUUAUCCAUCACCCAAGUGGGGAGGCAGAGAGUCGGAGCCGACUCUGAUGAGAUCUGAUGAGAAGCAGCCAGACUUCGGACCAUGUGAGGUUCUUUAUCCUACCGAAGCGGUGGUCUGCUGCUGGAAGUCCACAGACUCCAAUGUGAGCUUGAGAGCUGAACGUUCCCAGUUUUUCCUUCCAGUUUAAAGUCAGACUGAUAAAAUCUUUCCUUUAGACUUCUAAGAAGCCUAUGAGUAAUUUAUUAAAAACUUCCCCUUUAUCAGUAAUCAGUGAUUAGGUUUCAUGUCAUUAUUUUGUUUUUUUUGGUUUCAUUUGUUAAGUGUGUCAUUAGUUCUGAUCCAAAAGAAAAAUGUGGAUGUUUGUUUUAGUAAGGAACCAUCAAUAAUCCUUUAUUUUUUCAAUUAAAACAUUAACCAGUCUUUAUAUCGAUUCUAAACAAACCAUAAAUCCUGAGAAACUUAUAGAAAUGUCUUCCACUCAUCUUCCAUUAUGUAGCAUAGAGCGCCCCCUGGAAAGGAACUGAGCAUUUUCUUCAUCCACCCAGAUUUUUCUUUACCUAACUUAUAAGAAAAUCGUCAUUAACAAAGCUUAAAAGCAAAUAUUCAUUUAAAAAAAAAAAGAGAGAGAGAUAACAUUUUCCCCAAAACUAAGAUGUACUGUAUAUAAGAAGCCACAUUAAGAAGUCAUUUGUUGAUGCAGGGCAGCCCCCGUUGGCUGUUGGAUGUAAGACAGUGAGACAGAAAAGCAGCAGUAACCUUGGGAAUCACGUGGUCAUUUAUUUGUGACAGAACAGUGUCAUGGAUACAGCAUAUGGACGGGGCAGGGGGGGGAGUCAUAGACGUACAAAAAUCCCUUUUUCAGCACAAUUCUUAAUUCCAUAAAUAAACUUUACAAAAUAUUCUGGGACACUUUGUCUCGUUUGUCGGUUAACCAUUAAUGACAGGUGUCGUCUAGCAGGAAGUGUUGGUGAUCUGUAGUUUGGACUGUUCACGGGGAGACGAUGUACGGUGAGUGCUUUGUUACAACAACGCGACGGCCUGACGGGAGCAGUGACUGGACAACGAAAACCAAACCCAGAGGAGACGCGUGUCCUGCCGUCAUUGAGCUUUUAGUUUGCUAAACCAUCCACAGUGUAGGCAUAC